rnacentral:rRNA from 1 species
AGAGUUUGAUCCUGGCUUAGGAUGAACGCUGGCGGCGUGCCUAACACAUGCAAGUCGAGCGAGAAACCUGCAAAUGAAGUUCGACAGAUUUACAGGCGGAAAGCGGCGGACGGGUGAGUAACGCGUAGGCAACCUGCCCCUUGCACAGGGAUAGCCUCGGGAAACCGGGAUUAAAACCUGAUAACACCGCACUUUCACAUGUAAGAGCGGUCAAAGAUUUAUCGGCAAGGGAUGGGCCUGCGUCUGAUUAGUUAGUUGGUGGGGUAACGGCUCACCAAGGCAAUGAUCAGUAGCCGACCUGAGAGGGUGAUCGGCCACAUUGGAACUGAGACACGGUCCAAACUCCUACGGGAGGCAGCAGUGGGGAAUAUUGCACAAUGGGCGAAAGCCUGAUGCAGCAACGCCGCGUGAGCGAAGAAGGCGGAAUCGUCGUAAAGCUCUGUCCUUGGGGAAGAAGAACUGACGGUACCCUUGGAGGAAGCCCCGGCUAAAUACGUGCCAGCAGCCGC